rnacentral:rRNA from 1 species
UACGUAGGGUGCAAGCGUUGUCCGGAAUUAUUGGGCGUAAAGAGCUCGUAGGCGGUUUGUUGCGUCGGCUGUGAAAUCCCGAGGCUCAACCUCGGGUCUGCAGUCGAUACGAGCAAACUAGAGUGUUGCAGGGGAGACUGGAAUUCCUGGUGUAGCGGUGAAAUGCGCAGAUAUCAGGAGGAACACCGGUGGCGAAGGCGGGAUCCUGGGCCAGUACUGACGCUGAUGAGCGAAAGCGUGGGGAGCAAACAGG